UACGCAAAAGGAAAUGGUGUCUUCCUGUAAUAAACCGCUUUAAAGAAGCUGAUGGCGCCUGCAGACCG
rnacentral:ncRNA from 2 species